UGCGUAUGGUGCAAGCGUUAUCCGGAUUUACUGGGCGUAAAGGGAGCGCAGGCGGCGCGCCAAGUCUGAUGUGAAACCCCGGGGCUCAACCCCGGGCAUGCAUUGGAAACCGGCGGGCUGGAGUGCCGGAGAGGUAAGCGGAAUUCCUAGUGUAGCGGUGAAAUGCGUAGAUAUUAGGAGGAACACCAGUGGCGAAGGCGGCUUACUGGACGGCAACUGACGCUGAGGCUCGAAAGCGUGGGGAGCAAACAGG
rnacentral:rRNA from 1 species